rnacentral:rRNA from 1 species
ACGAAGGGUGCAAGCGUUGUUCGGAAUUACUGGGCGUAAAGGGCGAGUAGGCGGUUAGACAAGUUAGGUGUGAAAGGCCUGGGCUCAACCUGGGAAUUGCACUUAAGACUGUCUGGCUUGAGUAUGGGAGAGGAUAGCGGAAUUCCAAGUGUAGAGGUGAAAUUCGUAGAUAUUUGGAAGAACACCGGUGGCGAAGGCGGCUAUCUGGACCAUAACUGACGCUGAGGCGCGAAAGCGUGGGGAGCAAACAG